GUGGGGAAUAUUGGACAAUGGGCGCAAGCCUGAUCCAGCAAUGCCGCGUGCAGGAAGAAGGCCUUCGGGUUGUAAACUGCUUUUGUACGGAACGAAACGGUCCGGGUUAAUACCCUGGGCUAAUGACGGUACCGUAAGAAUAAGCACCGGCUAACUACGUGCCAGCAGCCGCGGUAAUACGUAGGGUGCAAGCGUUAAUCGGAAUUACUGGGCGUAAAGCGUGCGCAGGCGGUUUUGUAAGGCAGGCGUGAAAUCCCCGGGCUCAACCUGGGGAUUGCGCUUGUGACUGCAAGGCUGGAGUGCGGCAGAGGGGGAUGGAAUUCCGCGUGUAGCAGUGAAAUGCGUAGAUAUGCGGAGGAACACCGAUGGCGAAGGCAAUCCCCUGGGCCUGCACUGACGCUCAUGCACGAAAGCGUGGGGAGCAAACAGGAUUAGAAACCCUUGUAGUCC
rnacentral:rRNA from 1 species